rnacentral:lncRNA from 1 species
GGGUCUCGAGCACGGAAUUGCUGAAGUUGUGAAGGUUGAUGCUGUGAAUGCGCUCGGUCAUCCCCUUGCAACUGAUGUCACCUGCAGCAUGUCAACGCAGACACAAAACAGGGCAUGGGUCAGAUCUAGCUGGUUGCAUUCCUAAUACCUAGGUUUCAGAGUAAAAAUAUAGAGUCAGCUUGUGAUGGCAUUCCCUCGAAACAUGGAAGGAAUUGCAGUAAUGAAAGUCAUCAUGUAUUCUAAGAGACUGUUCUGCGAGAGCACAACACAGACGGGGCUAAAGCAGGGAUUGUCUAAGCCCAGUGUGGAGGAAUCAUCAAGGAUUUCAGCACGUUUUUUUAGCCAUUGUACAGUUUGUGAAAAUUAAGUUUUACUCUGUGAAUAAAGAAUGGG